rfam:Myotis brandtii contig284439, whole genome shotgun sequence.
GGAGAUUCUCAGGUGACGCACCCCGGAAUUGGGCUCCCUCCUCUCUGGUUCUUCUGGGUGUGCCCCAGAACCUCA